CUGGGAGAGGAUGCAGCUUAGAGUCUAAGUUUCUGUGUCAAUUUGCCUGGGCUGGUGGUGGGUGCCAGACUUGAAGAAGGAGAAGUUUAAUUUAGCUCAUUGUUUCAGGGGAGUCAGUCCAUGGUCAGCUGGCUUCAAGGCAAGAGUGUCAUGGCAAAGCAGGAAAGGCAUGGUGGGGGCAUGGUGGAGCAAAGAUAGUUAGCUCUUGGCAACUGGGAAGCAGAGUAGAGAAAGAACACCAGACAGCAAGGGGCAAGGGACUAGAAAUAGUGCCCAAGUUCACACUGUCACCACCCUGCCUGGUGGCACCCAAAGCCAGUCAAGUUGACCCUCUGCCCUAACUGGCAUACUCGGUCUACUGAUUCAGACGCCAGUCUCUUCUGGAAACACCCACAAGUAAUGUCUGGCAUCCAUGAACUCAGGCAAGUUAACACCUGAGAUUAACCAGCACCCCAGACUGCAUCAGCAGCCUGAGACAGUCGAUUUCUGUAGACAAAGGAAGACCACACAGCAUCCUGCAACCAACCAGCUGCACCUCGGCUUCCUGUGUGAGCAAACAGAAACUCUCACGUCAGGUAUUAUGUCCCAGCACUGUGGAAAGUGACCAAUACAUCAGGGUCUUCACCCCAUCUGACACCCCUUGGCCUGAGUUCUGAGGUUGGGAGACUAGAGAGCAGAGACUAAAUCACAUCAAUGCACACUAACCAGGAAGCUCUGGAGGUUGAAGGCCCUACCUGCUGAUACAGUCACAUUCUGAGGGACACCAGUCCAUCUACAUCUACUGAGCUCGGAGAAGUACAGCCCACAGUCACCACCCAGUUUCCAG